UACGGAGGGUGCAAGCGUUAUCCGGAUUCACUGGGUUUAAAGGGUGCGUAGGUGGGCUAGUAAGUCCGUGGUGAAAUCUCUGAGCUUAACUCGGAAACUGCCGUGGAUACUAUUAGUCUUGAAUCUCGUGGAGGUAAGCGGAAUAUGUCAUGUAGCGGAGAAAUGCUUAGAUAUGACAUAGAACACCGAUAGCGAAGGCAGCUUGCUACACGAGUAUUGACACUGAGGCACGAAAGCGUGGGGAUCAAACAGG
rnacentral:rRNA from 1 species